UUCCGAAAGAUAAGAUUAAUGAUCUAGAAAAUUAUCCUUUCGCGCAUCUGAGUUUAAUGUGUCUUCGCUGCUGCUGUUGUCACGUCAGGAAAAAUAAACACGAGGCAUUUGCGGACCCGCACGGUUCUGGAAAAACCUUCGUGAUUAGGCCAGAAAAGCCAUAAAUGGCAAUAACAGGAAUUAAAAAUAAUCUCUCCUAGACCGACAACUACUUAAGCGGUGAAGCUCGACAAAGUAUCAAGGACAAACAUCUUUAUUCCACCGGACAAACACGGGAGCAGUUCCAGCGCUAAACCGCUGGGCCGGGACCCAGCACUACUUCGUCAACAGCAGCAGCGGUAAACAUAAUUCUGGUGUGAAAAAAACUUGUUCAGUCCUCAUCCAUGAUUGCGACCACAGACACCAGCAGCUACCGAUCAUAUCGCCAUCAUCACCGUCAGUGGCAAAAGCAGCACCACCAAAUACAACAUCAGCCGGAAGCGUUCCCUCGCACCACAACCCGUUUUCCGGUGGAAGAUAACGUAGCAAUAUAUUCCGCGGAAAAAUAAGUGCCGCAGUCAAUUCAAGUCAGAAUAAAAACCCGAGGCAUGUGGACCCGUAAGAUUCCGAAAAAGUGAUGAGCUCGACAAAGUACAGGAUGCAAUGAAAAACUCCAUCAUCCGGUCGGACAAAUACCGGAGCAGUUCCAGCACCAAAAAGGUGAACAUUGAGCCGGAACAACCAGUAUUACUUCAUCACAAGCCGCAGAACAUUACUCUGGCGGAAGAACCUCAUUUAGUUCCUCAGCCACGAUUGCGACAACCGACAACUGCCGCCGCUUAUCGUACCGCCAACACCACCACCAGCGUCAACAGCAGUACUAC